AUUGAACGCUGGCGGCAGGCCUAACACAUGCAAGUCGAGCGGAUGAAGGGAGCUUGCUCCUGGAUUCAGCGGCGGACGGGUGAGUAAUGCCUAGGAAUCUGCCUGGUAGUGGGGGAUAACGUCCGGAAACGGGCGUUAAUACCGCAUACGUCCUGAGGGAGAAAGUGGGGGAUCUUCGGACCUCACGCUAUCAGAUGAGCCUAGGUCGGAUUAGCUAGUUGGUGGGGUAAAGGCCUACCAAGGCGACGAUCCGUAACUGGUCUGAGAGGAUGAUCAGUCACACUGGAACUGAGACACGGUCCAGACUCCUACGGGAGGCAGCAGUGGGGAAUAUUGGACAAUGGGCGAAAGCCUGAUCCGGCCAUGCCGCGUGUGUGAAGAAGGUCUUCGGAUUGUAAAGCACUUUAAGUUGGGAGGAAGGGCAGUAAGUUAAUACCUUGCUGUUUUGACGUUACCAACAGAAUAAGCACCGGCUAACUUCGUG
rnacentral:rRNA from 1 species